rnacentral:tRNA from 1 species
GGCUCUGUAGUGUAGUGGUUAUCACUCAAGAUUCUGAUUUGAUAGAAUAUUCUUGAAACCCAGGUUCGAAUCCUGGCAGGGCCU